ACGAACGCUGGCGGCGUGCCUAAUACAUGCACGUAGAACGCUGAAGGAGGAGCUUGCUUCUCUGGAUGAGUUGCGAACGGGUGAGUAACGCGUAGGUAACCUGCCUGGUAGUGGGGGAUAACUAUUGGAAACGAUAGCUAAUACCGCAUAAUAGCAGUUGUUGCAUGAUAACUGUUUGAAAGGUGCAAUUGCACCGCUACCAGAUGGACCUGCGUUGUAUUAGCUAGUUGGUGGGGUAACGGCUCACCAAGGCGACGAUACAUAGCCGACCUGAGAGGGUGAUCGGCCACACUGGGACUGAGACACGGCCCAGGACCCUACGGGAGGCAGCAGUAGGGAAUCUUCGGCAAUGGACGGAAGUCUGACCGAGCAACGCCGCGUGAGUGAAGAAGGGUUUCGGAUCGUAAAGCUCUGUUGUAAGAGAAGAACGAGUGUGAGAGUGGAAAGUUCACACUGGGACGGUAACUUACCAGAAAGGGACGGCUAACUACGUG
rnacentral:rRNA from 1 species